GGUGAUGGUACCUCAAGUGCAAGGAUUUGGGCUGCUCUCUUAUCAGAGAUAGCUUCUUGUAUUAAAAUACUUCAUCAGCUGAGUUGCCAGCUCUGUUUGUGAGUCAUAACAACAGUGACAAAGAAGCCAGAGAUCAGAGCUUCUUUCUGAAGCGAGGGAGCCCUCAUGACCCAGGACUCAUUUCAGCUCUCAUGACAGCUUGAGGAUGCGCAGUCCUGGCAGUGUCACCGUACCACAAAUGGGCCUGUGGUUAGCCACACUGGCAGAGCAGACAGCUCUUCGGCUUUGAGCACAGCACAUCUUGCUGUUGCAGAGCAGAUGCCUUGGAAGGUGCCAGAUCUGCUCUGGGGACCUCCAACUCCUGCAUUCCCUUCUCCUGACUUUAGCAGGACUAAGUAUGGCAUUUCAACCUGAGCAGUGCGGUGCUGCCUCUGCCUUCUAGUCCUGCUGAAGCCACUCCUGUGUCAGACAAUAAUGGAGGAAGUAAUGCUUCCUGAUGUUUCUACUGUGACAACACAGAUCCAGUCCUUUGGCCUGGAAUGAGGGAAGUCUUUCAGAAGAGCAUCCUAAGUUUGUGGCAAAACCCAGGAGCUUUAACUUCAUGGAUGGCACUAAGUGAUGAAAGCUGAUUUGUGAAUAGGAAAUGAAACAAAGGCUAGACCCCCAACUUGUGUGCAGUCACCAUAGUUCAAGACGAAAGCUACCUAGAAGGUAUGCUCCAGUGAUGAUCCUUCUUCAUAGAUAAUCCUCUUUAUUUUUAACCAGAACAGGCUAUGUUACUUGCAAUCUUUCUCCUCUUGCUCUACUCACAUAGGGUCCAGACCCAGCUAACCAGCUCUACUGCCUGCGUACCUUGAGGAGGGCAAUGCAGAUGCACUCCCUCCUAGUGUUCCUCACCUCUUGCACAUCAUGUAAGCAACUUGGAGGCCUGUAUAAAUUUUAUUCAGCUGCUUGAGGAUAGGGAAAGGCAUAGUUCCCUCAUCUUCCUGCC